UCUUUCUAACCAAAAUAAAAUUAACAAGCAUAACACUUAAUUCGAGAGUUAUCAUUUUAGGAAGUCGAAUGUUUUAAAAAUAUCGAAAACAAACUAAUAAUUAUAAUUGCUGAUAAUUAGGAUGACCGAGCUUCCGAACCACCAACCUGAUCAAGUCUGUGGACUACCUGCAAUUUAAGCAACAGACAAAACGAGUUAGUAUAGCACUAAAGGAAAGAUUAUAUAAGUCCGAACAAUUUACGAGUAACAAGUAAGUUUCCUUAUACAGGUUUAGAAUCAGACUCAGAGGACAAUCCAUUAACUUAACAUAUCAAAACAAAUCAAACAGGUAACCAUUUACUUUUUUUUCAGAUACAUAACAUAUCAGAAUAGAUAUAGUGUCAUGCAAAGCAGAUUAGAACAUAUACAGUGUCAUGCAGAACAGAUCGGAACAGAUACAAUGUCCUACCCCCAUCUGCUACACACCAUCUCUUACCAACCCAACACACAAAACAAGGUAUUUAAUACUCAUCCAGCCCUACACACCACAUAGUGUUGAUAUUACACAUUUCAAUUAUCGUAGACCAGCUGCCAGAUCAGAUUAUAGAUAUUAGUGGUUUAAACAAUAGCUCAGAAUAAAAUACUUCCACCAUUAAUCAAUUCCCACCCAAUGCAAAUGCAUAUUUCAAAUGACAGUUAAUACAGAGGCCUAUACGACCAUUCAGAUAUAGUUCAUACUCAUACAGAAUAAAUCAAUAUGAUUAACGAUUUUCAGUCGCAAUACACAUACAGAUUUUCAGUACUCAGUCUCAGAUCACAGAAUAAUAGUUUAAUUCAGUUCAUAUGGAAUUUAUAGAAGGCAUGUGUUCGUUUCAAACAACACUUCUGGCCGAAAAAAAAAGUCCAAAUAUUGGUCCACGCAGUUGUGUGGUUACACACAGCCUGGAUAGCAGGCUCGUAUGGUCCCACACGGCCUGACACACACCUGUGUGUUCGCCUAUGUGCCUUACACGGCCUGAUACAUACCCAUGUCACUUGCCC
rnacentral:lncRNA from 1 species